rnacentral:rRNA from 1 species
GGGUUGUGAGGUUAAGCGAACAAGCGUACACGGUGGAUGCCCUGGCAGUCAGAGGCGAUGAAGGACGUGCUAAUCUGCGAAAAGCGCCGGUAAGGUGAUAUGAACCGUUAUAACCGGCGAUGUCCGAAUGGGGAAACCCGGUGCACUUCGGUGCAUCAUCGUUAGCUGAAUACAUAGGCUAACGAGGCGAACCGGGGGAACUGAAACAUCUAAGUACCCCGAGGAAAAGAAAUCAACCGAGAUUCCCCCAGUAGCGGCGAGCGAACGGGGAACAGCCCAGAGCCUGAAUCAGCUUGUGUGUCAGUGGAACGGUCUGGAAAGGCCGGCGAUACAGGGUGACAGCCCCGUACACGAAGGCACACAGGCUGUGAGCUCGAUGAGUAGGGCGGGACACGUGAUAUCCUGUCUGAAGAUGGGGGGACCAUCCUCCAAGGCUAAAUACUCCUGACUGACCGAUAGUGAACCAGUACCGUGAGGGAAAGGCGAAAAGAACCCCGGCGAGGGGAGUGAAACAGAACCUGAAACCGUGUACGUACAAGCAGUGGGAGCCUUCGUAAGAGGGUGACUGCGUACCUUUUGUAUAAUGGGUCAGCGACUUAUAUUCUGUAGCAAGGUUAACCGUAUAGGGGAGCCGAAGGGAAACCGAGUCUUAACCGGGCGUUAAGUUGCAGGGUAUAGACCCGAAACCCGGUGAUCUAGCCAUGGGCAGGUUGAAGGUUGGGUAACACUAACUGGAGGACCGAACCGACUAAUGUUGAAAAAUUAGCGGAUGACCUGUGGCUGGGGGUGAAAGGCCAAUCAAACCGGGAGAUAGCUGGUUCUCCCCGAAAGCUAUUUAGGUAGCGCCUCGUGAACUCAUCUCCGGGGGUAGAGCACUGUUUCGGCUAGGGGGCCAUCCCGGCUUACCAACCCGAUGCAAACUGCGAAUACCGGAGAAUGUUAUCACGGGAGACACACGGCGGGUGCUAACGUCCGUCGUGAAGAGGGAAACAACCCAGACCGCCAGCUAAGGUCCCAAAGUCAUGGUUAAGUGGGAAACGAUGUGGGAAGGCCCAGACAGCCAGGAUGUUGGCUUAGAAGCAGCCAUCAUUUAAAGAAAGCGUAAUAGCUCACUGGUCGAGUCGGCCUGCGCGGAAGAUGUAACGGGGCUAAACCAUGCACCGAAGCUGCGGCAGCGACGCUUAUGCGUUGUUGGGUAGGGGAGCGUUCUGUAAGCCUGCGAAGGUGUGCUGUGAGGCAUGCUGGAGGUAUCAGAAGUGCGAAUGCUGACAUAAGUAACGAUAAAGCGGGUGAAAAGCCCGCUCGCCGGAAGACCAAGGGUUCCUGUCCAACGUUAAUCGGGGCAGGGUGAGUCGACCCCUAAGGCGAGGCCGAAAGGCGUAGUCGAUGGGAAACAGGUUAAUAUUCCUGUACUUGGUGUUACUGCGAAGGGGGGACGGAGAAGGCUAUGUCGGCCGGGCGACGGUUGUCCCGGUUUAAGCGUGUAGGCUGACUUUCCAGGCAAAUCCGGAAAGUUAAGGCUGAGGCGUGAUGACGAGGCACCACGGUGCUGAAGUGACAAAUGCCCUGCUUCCAGGAAAAGCCUCUAAGCAUCAGGUAACAUCAAAUCGUACCCCAAACCGACACAGGUGGUCAGGUAGAGAAUACCAAGGCGCUUGAGAGAACUCGGGUGAAGGAACUAGGCAAAAUGGUGCCGUAACUUCGGGAGAAGGCACGCUGACAUGUAGGUGAAGCCCCUGCGGGUGGAGCUGAAGUCAGUCGAAGAUACCAGCUGGCUGCAACUGUUUAUUAAAAACACAGCACUGUGCAAACACGAAAGUGGACGUAUACGGUGUGACGCCUGCCCGGUGCCGGAAGGUUAAUUGAUGGGGUUAUCGCAAGAGAAGCUCCUGAUCGAAGCCCCGGUAAACGGCGGCCGUAACUAUAACGGUCCUAAGGUAGCGAAAUUCCUUGUCGGGUAAGUUCCGACCUGCACGAAUGGCGUAAUGAUGGCCAGGCUGUCUCCACCCGAGACUCAGUGAAAUUGAACUCGCUGUGAAGAUGCAGUGUACCCGCGGCAAGACGGAAAGACCCCGUGAACCUUUACUACAGCUUGACACUGAACAUUGAGCCUUGAUGUGUAGGAUAGGUGGGAGGCUUUGAAGCGUGGACGCCAGUCUGCGUGGAGCCGACCUUGAAAUACCACCCUUUAAUGUUUGAUGUUCUAACCUGGCGCCGUGAUCCGGCGUGGGGACAGUGUCUGGUGGGUAGUUUGACUGGGGCGGUCUCCUCCCAAAGUGUAACGGAGGAGCACGAAGGUCAGCUAAUCCUGGUCGGACAUCAGGAGGUUAGUGCAAUGGCAUAAGCUGGCUUGACUGCGAGAGUGACGGCUCGAGCAGGUGCGAAAGCAGGUCAUAGUGAUCCGGUGGUUCUGUAUGGAAGGGCCAUCGCUCAACGGAUAAAAGGUACUCCGGGGAUAACAGGCUGAUACCGCCCAAGAGUUCAUAUCGACGGCGGUGUUUGGCACCUCGAUGUCGGCUCAUCACAUCCUGGGGCUGAAGUAGGUCCCAAGGGUAUGGCUGUUCGCCAUUUAAAGUGGUACGCGAGCUGGGUUUAGAACGUCGUGAGACAGUUCGGUCCCUAUCUGCCGUGGGCGCUGGAGAAUUGAGGGGGGCUGCUCCCAGUACGAGAGGACCGGAGUGGACGCAUCACUGGUGUUCGGGUUGUCAUGCCAAUGGCACUGCCCGGUAGCUAAAUGCGGAAGAGAUAAGUGCUGAAAGCAUCUAAGCACGAAACUUGCCCCGAGAUGAGUUCUCCCUGAGACUAUAAGUCUCCUGAAGGAACGUUGAAGACGACGACGUUGAUAGGCCGGGUGUGUAAGCGCAGCGAUGCGUUGAGCUAACCGGUACUAAUGAACCGUGAGGCUUAACCUUACAACGCCAAAGAAGU